rnacentral:rRNA from 1 species
GAUAAACGCUGGCGGCGCACAUAAGACAUGCAAGUCGAACGGACUUAACUCAUUCUUUUAGAUUGAGAGCGGUUAGUGGCGGACUGGUGAGUAACACGUGAGCAACCUGCCUUUCAGAGGGGGACAACGGCUGGAAACGGUCGCUAAUACCGCAUAAAAUAUUUGAGCGGCAUCGCUUAAAUAUCAAAGGAGCAAUCCGCUGAAAGAUGGGCUCGCGUCUGAUUAGAUAGUUGGUGGGGUAACGGCCUACCAAGUCGACGAUCAGUAGCCGGACUGAGAGGUUGAACGGCCACAUUGGGACUGAGAUACGGCCCAG